CUCUUUCUGACUGUAAACAAAGCCGUUCUCCACCUCCUCUAACCUGAUUGGUUGUGAGGCAGACGCUGCUCCCCCGUGUCGUUCAGGAGCCCAAACAAAGUUAGCGUGCUACAAUAUCGGACAGUAGAAACCAACCAGAAAGUUCGGAAAAUUGUCGGAAUCCUCCUUUGGCCACGACUGCCGACACAAGCAAGAAAACAAAGUAAAUACCGGAGACUCUGGAGGAAUAACGGGCGCUUAAAACGGAGGUAGACCGGACAAGAGCUAAAAAGCCGGGUCAACAUAAACCAUGGGGGACGCUUGGGGAUCUUGGUGACCCUGUAACCUUUCAUUUGUAAUGAUCUGAAGGAUUUAUCUGCAUUAUAUCUGAGUUUAAUUGGAACAAAAACUGGGACUUCCUCAGAUCCUGAC